CAUCCCCCCGCUCGCCGGACCUACGUAUCCACGCGCAGGCGACCACCGUGUCGCGCUGCCCCACCUCCCCCCUGUUUCGCCUGUGCGCCUGACCAGAGUCGUCCUGUCACCGGACGGGCGGAGCGCCCUCUGUACCGCAGCCGGCGGACACCUUCGGCUCCACGCGACGGCGACGAACGCGCCCCGUCUACAGAUAACCCGCCUCCACGCCACGCGGCUGGACCUUGCCGCCAUUGAUCUCCGCCUCGGCUUGGGACCUCUGGCCAGCUGACCGACAUUUGCUUUGUUUUUUUGUGGUAUGGAUCACUUCCCCUCUCUACGUGUUGUUUGAUGAAUAACAAAUUUCUGAAUUUUUGUGAUGAACGAUAUUCAGAUUCGUUCUGAUUGAAAUGCCAAUCUUUUGUUUCGUUGUUCUCAUGUUCUAUUUCAGUGUCUUCUACUGUCAGUUCUAACCUUACUUCUGAGUCCCAUCGUUAAAACAAAUAUGCAAACAUAUGUACUCGAGUAUGGACUGUAGGAGUUCUUACCAAAUUUUUGUAGGACGACGUACUAAGUGUGCGUGCUCAUUGUUGCACUAGAGGCCCUUCUGAACCUAACUGAUAUGUUAUCUCCUUUUCAUUUUAUUUUUUGAGUAAUGUCCACCUAUCAUGUUAAAGCAAUUUCUCAUCCCAAAUAAAUGUUACCAGUGUGUAGAAAAACAAUCUGAUUAUGUUUUUCAUCUUAUUUUUUGUUUGUACUACCACUAAUUGUGUGCAGCAGUUUGUUAGUGCCUAUGUAAUUGAUUAUUCAUGAUAAAAAACGGCUCUUUGUACUGGUCUCUAUUCUUCACACUGUCGAAAACUCAAUCCUUAUAAAGAGGGGAUAAGUAUGUGAGCAGCAAGGGAUUUAUUUUAUAGAUUGUAUUGGUUUUGCUGAAGCAUCAAGGCAACCAUUCAAAGGAGGUUGUUAACAAUGAGGCACUGAUGAAGAAGAGCAUAUGUGGCUUUGCCUAACUCAUCUGGUUAUUCAAGGUUCUUGAAUAACUCCAAGCUUGGGGAGCAUUGCAGACAUAGUUUUAAAUAGCGGGCUAGGGCAAAUAGUGGCGAGCCUCUAAAUCAGCUAUAGCGGGCUAUAGCGGCAUAUUUAUACAUGAAACCAUUUAGCGGCACUGUAACAUCCCAAAUUUUGGAAUGUUAAUAAAAUUGUUAGAUUGAUUGUUU